UACGUAGGGCGCAAGCGUUGUCCGGAAUUAUUGGGCGUAAAGAGCUCGUAGGCGGUUAGUCACGUCGACUGUGAAAACCUGGGGCUCAACUCCGGGCCUGCAGUCGAUACGGGCUGACUAGAAUUCGGUAGGGGAGACUGGAAUUCCUGGUGUAGCGGUGAAAUGCGCAGAUAUCAGGAGGAACACCAAUGGCGAAGGCAGCUCGCUGGGACGGUACUGACGCUGAGACGCGAAAGCGUGGGGAGCAAACAGG
rnacentral:rRNA from 1 species